UUGGUGUGGAUGCGAGAUGAUGAUUUUCUCGACAAGUUUUAGCCGGUAUAAACCCUGCUAGCAUUGAGAGGAUGCAGUCAUUUCCCCUAGUAAGCAACCUCGACACAGAAACUUAUGGUCCUGUAGAAUCUGCCCUAAAAGAAGAGCAUAUUAUCGGAUACUUAGAUGGAAUGUCAGUUCAACGGGCUUUGGAUGCAAACAGGCUUUUCAUUGUGGACCACCAUGAUACAUUCCUGCCUUUCCUGGAGUGACUGAAUGCUCUGGAUGGCCGAAAAUGUUAUGCAACUAGAACUGUGUUCUUCUUAACUGCACUUGCCAUUGAGCUAAAUUUGCCACCGUCUGGUCCUAACUCAAAGUCGAAAAGAGUGUUAUGUUUAGAAAUGUGGUCAUUUGAAAUGAUGGUUCUCUUAGCUGGUCUUCUUCCCAACCCAACAUUAGAAACAUUCGCGCUGUCUA